rnacentral:rRNA from 1 species
UAGGGAAUAUUGGUCAAUGGGUGAGAGCCUGAACCAGCCAUGCCGCGUGCAGGAAGAAGGCCUUAGGGUUGUAAAGCUCUUUCGGCGGGGAAGAUAAUGACGGUACCCGCAGAAGAAGCCCCGGCUAACUCUGUGCCAGCAGCCGCGGUAAUACAGAGGGGGCAAGCGUUGUUCGGAAUCACUGGGCGUAAAGCGCACGUAGGUGGAUAGUUAAGUUCGGGGUGAAAUCCCAGGGCUCAACCCUGGAACUGCCUCGGAUACUGGCUAUCUCGAGUCCGGAAGAGGUGAGUGGAAUUCCUAGUGUAGAGGUGAAAUUCGUAGAUAUUAGGAAGAACACCGGUGGCGAAGGCGGCUCACUGGUCCGGUACUGACACUGAGGUGCGAAAGCGUGGGGAGCAAACAGGAUUAGAUACCCAGGUAGUCCCUGAGCGGGCUGGCAAGGCGCAU